UAUAAACAUACCUUCGUAUAAAUAUAUGUAUAUUUGCGUACACACCAUGAGGGUAUCUUAACUUACUUGUGGUAACGAGUAUAUCAUCGGGUCAUGGGUUAGUGUAUCGAUAGAGCUCGAUCACACGUGAAACAACUUUACCAUAGUAUUGGUUACUUAUGAUGUUCAAAUAUUAUUAGGGAUGUCUUGGUGAUUAUUUGCAUGUUAUGCCGGUUCGUGUCGUUGAUACAAUACUUUUGGAUAUAACACGCACCCUAGGUCGAUAGGUACUUUGUUGGGAAUUUGCUGUCUGGAGUAGCUGGAGUGGUCAUGGGUCGACUGGAGGGAUUUAUGUGUUCAAACUAUUGAUACUAUACAUUAGUUUUAAAACAGCUUAACUUGGGUUUACUAUUUGCUUCCGCUGAACAUGUUGGUUUUCAUUUAAA